rnacentral:rRNA from 1 species
CGCGUAGGCGGACUCUUAAGUCGGGGGUGAAAGCCCAGGGCUCAACCCUGGAAUUGCCUUCGAUACUGAGAGUCUUGAGUUCGGAAGAGGUUGGUGGAACUGCGAGUGUAGAGGUGAAAUUCGUAGAUAUUCGCAAGAACACCAGUGGCGAAGGCGGCCAACUGGUCCGAUACUGACGCUGAGGCGCGAAAGCGUGGGGAAGCAAACAG